rnacentral:rRNA from 1 species
UACGUAGGGUGCAAGCGUUGUCCGGAAUCAUUGGGCGUAAAGAGCGUGUAGGCGGCUCGAUCAGUCCGCUGUGAAAGUCCAGGGCUCAACCCUGGGAUGCCGGUGGAUACUGUCGAGCUAGAGUCCGGAAGAGGCGAGUGGAAUUCCUGGUGUAGCGGUGAAAUGCGCAGAUAUCAGGAGGAACACCAAUGGCGAAGGCAGCUCGCUGGGACGGUACUGACGCUGAGACGCGAAAGCGUGGGGAGCAAACAGG